AUUGAACGCUGGCGGCAGGCCUAACACAUGCAAGUCGAGCGGUAACAGGAAGAAGCUUGCUUCUUUGCUGACGAGUGGCGGACGGGUGAGUAAUGUCUGGGAAACUGCCUGAUGGAGGAGGAUAACUACUGGAAACGGUAGCUAAUACCGCAUAACGUCGCAAGACCAAAGAGGGGGACCUUCGGGCCUCUUGCCAUCGGAUGUGCCCAGAUGGGAUUAGCUAGUAGGUGGGGUAACGGCUCACCUAGGCGACGAUCCCUAGCUGGUCUGAGAGGAUGACCAGCCACACUGGAACUGAGACACGGUCCAGACUCCUACGGGAGGCAGCAGUGGGGAAUAUUGCACAAUGGGCGCAAGCCUGAUGCAGCCAUGCCGCGUGUAUGAAGAAGGCCUUCGGGUUGUAAAGUACUUUCAGCGGGGAGGAAGGGAGUAAAGUUAAUACCUUUGCUCAUUGACGUUACCCGCAGAAGAAGCACCGGCUAACUCCGUG
rnacentral:rRNA from 1 species